rnacentral:rRNA from 1 species
AACGCUGGCGGCGUGCCUAAUACAUGCAAGUCGAGCGGAUCUUGUCCUUCGGGACAAGGUUAGCGGCGGACGGGUGAGUAACACGUAGGCAACCUGCCCUCAAGACUGGGAUAACCUCCGGAAACGGAUGCUAAUACCAGAUAUACGGUCUCUCCUCCUGGAGGGGUCGGGAAAGACGGAGCAAUCUGUCACUUGGGGAUGGGCCUGCGGCGCAUUAGCUAGUUGGUGAGGUAACGGCUCACCAAGGCGACGAUGCGUAGCCGACCUGAGAGGGUGAUCGGCCACACUGGGACUGAGACACGGCCCAGACUCCUACGGGAGGCAGCAGUAGGGAAUCUUCCGCAAUGGACGCAAGUCUGACGGAGCAACGCCGCGUGAGUGAGGAAGGCCUUCGGGUCGUAAAGCUCUGUU